rnacentral:pre_miRNA from 1 species
AAUGGAAUUGCUAGGUCAUAUGGUAACUCUAUGUUUAACCUUUUGAGGAACCGCCAGGCUAUUUUCCAAAGUGGCUGAACCAUUUUACAUUCCCACCGGCAGU